GACGAACGCUGGCGGCGUGCUUAACACAUGCAAGUCGAACGGAAAGGCCCUGCUUUUGUGGGGUGCUCGAGUGGCGAACGGGUGAGUAACACGUGAGUAACCUGCCCUUGAAUUUGGGAUAACUUCAGGAAACUGGGGCUCAUACCGGAUAGGAGCUCCUGCUGCAUGGUGGGGGUUGGAAAGUUUCGGAGGUUGGGGAUGGACUCGCGGCCUAUCAGCUUGUUGGUGGGGUAGUGGCUUACCAAGGCUUUGACGGGUAGCCGGCCUGAGCGGGUGCACGGCCACAUUGGGACUGGAAUACGGCACAGACUCCUACGGGAGGCAGCAGUGCGGAAUAAUGCACAAUAGGCGGAAGCCUGAUGCAGCAACGCCGCGUCCGGGAUGACGGCCAUCGGGUUGUAAACCGAUUUCGCCUGUGACGAAGCGUGAGUGACGGUAAUGGGUAAAGAAGCACCGGCUAACUACGUG
rnacentral:rRNA from 1 species